AACGAACGCUGGCGGCAUGCCUAACACAUGCAAGUCGAACGAGACCUUCGGGUCUAGUGGCGCACGGGUGCGUAACGCGUGGGAACCUGCCCUUAGGUUCGGAAUAACUCCCCGAAAGGGGUGCUAAUACCGGAUAAUGUCUUCGGACCAAAGAUUUAUCGCCUUUGGAUGGGCCCGCGUUGGAUUAGCUAGUUGGUAGGGUAAAAGCCUACCAAGGCGACGAUACAUAGCUGGUCUGAGAGGAUGAUCAGCCACACUGGGACUGGGACACGGCCCAGACUCCUACGGGAGGCAGCAGUGGGGAAUAUUGGACAAUGGGCGAAAGCCUGAUCCAGCAAUGCCGCGUGAGUGAUGAAGGCCUUAGGGUUGUAAAGCUCUUUUACCCGGGAUGAUAAUGACAGUACCGGGAGAAUAAGCGCCGGCUAACUCCGUG
rnacentral:rRNA from 1 species